AGGAGUGUAGCUCAGUUGGUAGAGCAGCGGUCUCCAAAACCGCUGGCCGGGGGUUCGAGUCCCUCCACUCCUGCCA
rnacentral:tRNA from 1 species